rnacentral:lncRNA from 1 species
UUGUAAUUAGCUUUGAUUUGAAUGAUUCUUAGUUUGUUGCAAGGCUAACUUAAAGAAAAUCUUGAUUAAAAAAAUCUUAUUGCAUUUUAAUGACCCAGUUGUGAAAAUUGCUCUUUUGAAGUUAAGUAAUCCAAACUUCUGUGGCAACCAAUCCUCUUCACUUAGAAAUUUACUAAAAAUUCAGAUUGUCUUCAAAUCCAACAAAACUUAUGCCUUUCAGAGCUUAACUUAUAAAGAUUGAUGCUCCCAAAGGUUUCAAAUGAAGUCAAUU